rnacentral:rRNA from 1 species
AGUGAACGCUGGCGGUAGGCCUAACACAUGCAAGUCGAACGGCAGCACAGUAAGAGCUUGCUCUUACGGGUGGCGAGUGGCGGACGGGUGAGGAAUACAUCGGAAUCUACUUUUUCGUGGGGGAUAACGUAGGGAAACUUACGCUAAUACCGCAUACGACCUACGGGUGAAAGCAGGGGAUCUUCGGACCUUGCGCGAUUGAAUGAGCCGAUGUCGGAUUAGUUAGUUGGCGGGGUACAGGCCCACCAAGGCGACGAUCCGUAGCUGGUCUGAGAGGAUGAUCAGCCACACUGGAACGGAGACAAGGUCCAGACUCCUACGGGAGGCAGCAGUGGGGAAUAUUGGACAAUGGGCGCAAGCCUGAUCCAGCCAUACCGCGUGAGUGAAGAAGGCCUUCGGGUUGUAGAGCCCUUUUGUUGGGAAAGAAAAGCAGCAGGUUAAUACCCCGCUGUUCUGACGGUACCCAAAGAAUAAGCACCGGCUAACUUCGUG